rnacentral:rRNA from 1 species
AGCGAACGCUGGCGGCAGGCCUAACACAUGCAAGUCGAACGAACUCUUCGGAGUUAGUUGCGGACGGGUGAGUAACACGUUGGAACGUGCCUUUUGGUUCGGAAUAACUCAGGGAAACUUGUGCUAAUACCGAGUGUGCUCUUCGGGGGAAAGAUUUAUCGCCAUUAGAGCAGCCUGCGACUGAUUAGCUAGUGGGUGAGGUAACGGCUCACCAAGGCGUGGAUCAGUAGCCGGUCUGAGAGGAUGACCACCCACACUGGGGCUGGGACACGGCCCAGACCCCUAGGGGAGGGAGCAAAGGGUAAUCUUGCGCAAGGGGCCAAAGCCAGACGCAUCUAUGGUGCGAGAAUUAUGAAGGUCUUAGGAUUGUAAAAUUCUUUCAUCGGGGACGAUAAUGACGGUACCCGGAGAAGAAGCCCCGGCUAACUUCGUG